rnacentral:rRNA from 1 species
AGCGAACGCUGGCGGCAGGCUUAACACAUGCAAGUCGAACGCAUCCUUCGGGAUGAGUGGCAGACGGGUGAGUAAUGCGUGGGAACGUGCCCUCCGGGUCGGGAUAACCCAGGGAAACUUGGGCUAAUACCGGAUACGUGCUUAUGGCAGAAAGGUUUACUGCCGGAGGAUCGGCCCGCGUCUGAUGAGGUAGUUGGUGGGGUAACGGCCUACGCAGGCUGCGAUCAGUAGGUGGUCUGAGAGGAUGACCAGCCAGAAUGGGACUGGGACACGGCACAUACUCCUACGGGAGGCAGCAGGGAGGAAUCUUCCGCAAUGGGCGAAAGCCUGACAGAGCGACACCGCGUUAAGGAUGAAACCCUUUUGGGCGUAAACUUCUGUUCUGAGGGACGAAAUUUUUGACGGUACCUCAGGAGAAAGCACCGGCUAAUUCUGUGCCAGCCGCCGCGGUAA